ensembl:lncRNA
CCCCACUUACGGGGCCGUCCCCCGCAACCCGGCACCCCCCAACAAGCACCACGGAGCACAGGCUCCGGCCUGCGUCCCACUCAGGAACAGGCCGGAGCCCAGCCGCAGCGCAGCACGGCAACAUGGCCGGCGGCAGGAGCCCGACGAGCCUCCUCUACGAGGCUGCCACAGGAGGUGGCAACAGCACUUCUUCAACCUGCUCCCGGGCAAGGGCCUGGGAGCAGUGGUUCCUGUCACCUGGCUAAAGCAGUCUUCCCAGCCCUGCUUACAGGCACCUGGGGCUGCUCCGUGGGACAAAGGGACAAGGGGCUCCUCCUGGGGCAACGUCCUGGCACGGGCCCUGACUACAGGGCCCGCACGCUGCUGCUUCACCAGCACAAAGGGCACCCUAGGCCCAGACCCAGGCCCUGGCUACAGGCGGGUCACGCUGCCGCUAAGCCGCUUUGUGCCGCCCUCAGCAAGCAGGGGCAAGGCCAGACGCUUUCUCCACCCGAGCAUUUUGGGGACCUGCUUGUGGCGGCACAGAACUCCUCUUUCUCUCCUGGGAAGUCCAAGCUAACCUGCUCUGUAUCUAAAGCGGGGGCUAAAGCACAAUCACACUCGCUCACUCGCACCAAGCUAAGGGGAAGACAGGGGAGGGAGGGGGAGACAGUCCCAGAAGAGGGAGCGAGUUCCGUGCGGCCAACCUGCUCAAAGGGAGCCAUCCCUACUGCUCAGUGGCAGAUCAAAGCAUCAGACCUGCACCGCACUGCACUGCGAGGAGGGCACAGGGGCCUCGACGUGCUGAGGCGCUUCAGGCCUGCAACAGGGACAAAGGCUGUGACACGCCCCGACUACAGGGGGUCACGCUGCCCAGGGGCCAGCAGCAGGCAGAAAGCUGCCAAGGGCUGGGGAAAGGGAAAAGCCCUGCCCUGUUUACAGGGCGGCCAGGCCGGGGGCUUGGGGAGCUCCGUUUCCCCCCUCAGGUGCGGAGACAGGGGCUCUCACCCUCCUUACAGGGUUGCCCCCGUCUCCGGGCAGCCAAAGGAGCACAACGGCAAAAUGCCAACCACAGCAAACACCCAGCCCUGCACACAGGGAGGGGGCCAAGCGCAACGUCAGCCACGGCACCUUCAAGGUGCCCUGGCCAUGCCAUGA